UGGGGAAUUUUGGACAAUGGGGGAAACCCUGAUCCAGCCAUCCCGCGUGUGCGAUGAAGGCCUUCGGGUUGUAAAGCACUUUUGGCAGGAAAGAAACGUCAUGGGUUAAUACCCCGUGAAACUGACGGUACCUGCAGAAUAAGCACCGGCUAACUACGUGCCAGCAGCCGCGGUAAUACGUAGGGUGCAAGCGUUAAUCGGAAUUACUGGGCGUAAAGCGUGCGCAGGCGGUUCGGAAAGAAAGAUGUGAAAUCCCAGAGCUCAACUUUGGAACUGCAUUUUUAAAAAACGGGCUAGAGUGUGUCAGAGGGAGGUGGAAUUCCGCGUGUAGAAGUGAAAUGCGUGGAUAUGCGGAGGAACACCGAUGGCGAAGGCAGACUCCUGGGAUAACACUGACGAUCAUGCACGAAAGCGUGGGGAGCAAACAGG
rnacentral:rRNA from 1 species